rnacentral:lncRNA from 1 species
AGGGUCACAAGAGGCCUCUAAGCCUUAUGAACCAAAACAUCACUAUCCUAAACUGCAUACCCUUCCUUCCUCCAGUGGAACAGUAAGUGAGCACCCUGUCUAGAGACGAAAAAGACAACUCAGCAGGAACAAGUAAUAGGCAUCAGAACCAGCUUCUAUGACCACAAUUUGGAGGACUGGGAGGACAAGCUUACAAGCCUUUUUCUUGCAAGCCUAACAUUAAGACUAAAGGAAAUCAGGGACUGGUUUACAAGUCAGCAGGAGGAGAACUUCAUGGCAUAGAGUAUCUUAUGAUUUCUUCUAGGCCAUUGCAAAGAAUGCUGUAGAGGCAAGGAAGACCUACAAAGAAGGUCACCUCCUCAGAUAAAGUCUUCAGAACAAAUACAAUAUAAAGCCAUCAACUUUGAUCUAUUCAGACUUUGUCAUAUGAACAGACAACUGGAGAACUGAUAUACAGCAGUCUUUGUCUCCUCCCGCAACUCAACUGCGACCUCAAGUCCAAACACAUAAGUAUAUUUGCUUAUACCAUGAAGGCAGAUCAACUCAUCAAGUUAUCCCCAUGGAACAGAAAUAUCACUGGGUCCAUCAGCAAAACUUAAAGUAGAAAGUGUCAGGCAAAACAGAUGAUGCAACAUGAACAAUGACAUUUUAAAAAAAAAGACAAAACCUUCAAUUUCAUUCUAAUCAAGAAAAAGCUUUUUAAUUCAAUACUGACUUCCCUCAUGUUGUAUUCU